rnacentral:pre_miRNA from 1 species
GUUGUACUCCCUCCGUCCCAAAAUCUUGUCUUAGAUUUGUCUAAAUACGGAUGUAUCAAGUCACGUUUUAGUAUUAGGUACAUCCGUAUCUAGACAAAUCAAAGACAAGAAUUUUGGGAUGGAGGUACAUC